rnacentral:rRNA from 1 species
UACGUAGGGUGCAAGCGUUAAUCGGAAUUACUAGGCGUAAAGCGUGCGCAGGCGGUUUUGUAAGACAGAGGUGAAAUCCCCGGGCUCAACCUGGGAACUGCCUUUGUGACUGCAAGGCUUGAGUGCGGCAGAGGGGGAUGGAAUUCCGCGUGUAGCAGUGAAAUGCGUAGAUAUGCGGAGGAACACCGAUGGCGAAGGCAAUCCCCUGGGCCUGCACUGACGCUCAUGCACGAAAGCGUGGGGAGCAAACAGG